rnacentral:lncRNA from 12 species
UUCAGCCCGGCCGGAACUUUUCUUCGGGGGCCCGCCCGCCAUGACGAUCACCUACAGUUGUGUCGUUAAUGGCCGAGCGGUCCUAGGGGAGCUGGCCCUGACCGGCGGCUCCUAUCAGGAAGCAGCAGCAACAGUGCUUAGACUAGUGCUUCUUAGAGCUGAACAGAAGACCAUAAUUCAGAUGGGAAGCUUUGUCUAUCAUACUCUCUUUAUUGAUGGAAUCACUUACCUAUGUGCUACAGACAAUGCCUUGGAUACCAUAACACCAUCUGCAUUUCUUACAAAUGUUAGUGAUACUUUUCUGAGAAAUCCUUUGAUGUCGCAAGAACAUUUUUCUCCUUCAAAUGCCGUUGCUGCAGAUUUUCAACAAGUAUUAGGAAAGUAUAUGAUGAAAUACAAUAAAAAUCAAGAUGGUAGCUCAAUAUCUACAUUGAAGAGUCAAGUAACUGAUGUAAAAAAUAUUAUGUCCCAAAAUAUUGAUGAAAUUUUGGAAAGCGAAAAAAGAUUGAAUAUCUACACUGAUAGAACCAGUUAUCUCCAAACAACUGCCAAAGAAUCUCAAAAACCAAGAAAGAUUCUUAGGAGGAUAUGGUGGAAACACUUCAAAAAGAUCAUAAUCAUCACUGUGCUACUCCCCCAGCCUCCUUUCCCUUUGUUAAGAUUAAGAACACAAACGGGGGAAUGA